rnacentral:rRNA from 1 species
GACGAACGCUGGCGGCGUGCUUAACACAUGCAAGUCGAACGGAAAGGCCCCUUUGGGGGUACUCGAGUGGCGAACGGGUGAGUAACACGUGAGUAACCUGCCCUUGACUUCGGGAUAACUUCAGGAAACUGGGGCUAAUACCGGAUAGGAAUCCUUGCUGCAUGGUGGGGGUUGGAAAGCUUCGGCGGUUUUGGAUGGACUCGCGGCGUAUCAGCUUGUUGGUGGGGUAGUGGCUUACCAAGGCUUUGACGGGUAGCCGGCCUGUGAGGGCGACCGGCCACAUUGGGACUGAGAUACGGCCCAGACUCCUACGGGAGGCAGCAGUGGGGAAUAUUGCACAAUGGGCGGAAGCCUGAUGCAGCAACGCCGCGUGCGGGAUGACGGCCUUCGGGUUGUAAACCGCUUUCAGCAGGGGCGAAGCUUGUGGUGACGGUACCUGCAGAAGAAGCACCGGCUAACUACGUG